UACGUAGGGUGCGAGCGUUAAUCGGAAUUACUGGGCGUAAAGCGUGCGCAGGCGGUUUUGUAAGUCCGAGGUGAAAUCCCCGGGCUCAACCUGGGAACUGCCUUUGUGACUGCAAGGCUUGAGUGCGGCAGAGGGGGAUGGAAUUCCGCGUGUAGCAGUGAAAUGCGUAGAUAUGCGGAGGAACACCGAUGGCGAAGGCAAUCCCCUGGGCCUGCACUGACGCUCAUGCACGAAAGCGUGGGGAGCAAACAGG
rnacentral:rRNA from 1 species